ensembl:lncRNA
AGCAAAUUGAGAGCAUGCCUAUUCUGUAAUAUGACAUUGGCCAGUGAAUCUAGUUGGGUUUCUAAAGCCUGAAGUGCAUCUUGAAUUUCCUCAAGAUCUUUUCUAAUUUCUUGUCCUAAUGAAAUAUAUUUCUCCUUUUAGCCAAAUAGGAUCCCAUGGGGCUGGCAUAUACAUAGAUAUAGGAUUACAUUGACCUUGUUUACACAAUUACCAGUGGCUCAUCCAACAAGGGAGCCAUUGAUCCAAACUUGUGUUUUCUCUUUGCAAUAUAAUUUCUCAUUAGAAUACCCCCAAAGUCAGAAGCUACCCCAGGUCCCCCAUAAUGUUUUUUGGGGGUAGGCAUCAAAUAUUGUAAAUGGAUAGCCUUCUGGUUCCCAUUUUACAAGUCACAUAUUGUUCAUCAAACUUCAUCACUAGGCCUAAACACCUGCAGUUUGAAAACAAAGAAACUUAAAGCAGUGGUGAUCUGGCACAAUACAAUAAUCCAUAUCAUCCUUGUUGGUGCUUCCGUUCUUCAGUCGUGUGUUGACUCACCAGCCUCUGGAGUGGUCAGGGAGGCUACAAAAGAGCUCAUCGGUGACACUCAAGCAGUCAUGAUUGGGAAGGCCUAUCUCGGAGGGCAAGAAGGUAACAGAAUUUAAAGCUUUUACAGGAAUAAACCAUAAGCGGGGGUUCUCACAGAGAAGGGCUUGAUACUGAGUAACCUGAUUAUUUGAGAGCCAUUGAUGCCCUCUUGUGUUUAACAGUUCCAAGACCACGUGUGGAACCUGCACAGUAAGGUCCUGACCUAGAGUUAGCUUGUCUGCUUCUUGGAUUAAUAAAACUGAGGCUGCCAAGGCCCGAAGGGAAGGAGGCCACACGUUUGCUACUGGAUCUAAAUUUUUAGACAAGUAUGCCACUGGUUUAUUCCAUGGACCUACUUCUUGGGUUAAUACUCCAAGGGCCACAUGGUUCUUCUCAGUCACAUACAGAACAAAAGGCUGCUUUACAUCCAGUAUGCCUAAAGCAGGGGCAGCUGCUAAGGUCAGUUUUAUUUUUUUUUUAAAGUUUGUUUUUUUUCUAGAGCCCAAAGUAAAUGAUUUUUUUCUUUUCCCUUUAGGACUUCAUAAACAGGUUUAGUCAUCUCUGCAAAACCAGGAAUCCAAAUUUUACAGCAGCCUGUCGCCCCAAGAAGCUCCCUCAGCUGUCUCUUAUCUCAUUUAUCUUUCCUCUUAGCCCAUUCCUUGUCUUUCACUAACUCUCUAUUUACAUACACUUUCCUACCCAAUUGUAGCAACUGUGUUAUAUUCAUACCCUCCCAAGUUUCUUGCUUUUGAAUUUUCCUUCUAAUAUCUUGAGCUAACUGGGUCACAAAGUCAUACUGAUUAGCUGAUGGUUAUCAGGAACAGCAGGAUCAAAUGGUGUAUAAAUUCUGUAAACUUUACAGAACCACUCGUAAAAUUUCUCAGGGCUCUCAUCGGGCUCCUGCUGUGUUUCUAGCACUUUAAUCAUAUUUGUAGGCCUUUUACUUGAGGCUCGUAUCCCUGCCAAGAGGGCUGUCUGAUAAUUGCUUAAGCUGUCCUGGCUUCCUGGGGUGUUGGGGUUCCAAUUGUGCCACUCAUUUACUGGAAAUUGUUGUUCAUGUCAAGCAUCUGGAUUUUGUGUGCCUGCCGGCAUUCUAGGAGAAUUGAUCUUUUCAAUUUCUCCUAAAACUCUCUGCAUUUCUUUAGAGGUUAACAAAGUUCUACAAAGUUCUUUACAGUCCUCCCAAUUAGGACAAUGGGUAGCAAAGAUGGAAUCAAAUAAUUGAAACAUUUUGGAGGGGUCUUGGCAGAGAAUAAAUGACUUUCUUUUUCUCUGGACCUAGCCUCCUUUGUCCUUUUUUAAAGUCAAAUCUGAAAUAUCACACCUUGGUCUGACAUAUUUGUGCCUUUUCCCAACAGUCUUCUUUUUUUUUUUUUAAACUCACUAUAAAGGAGGGGGUCAUAUUGUAACCUGCUGGCUCUUAAACCCUUUGAAGAUGACCAAUGUACACAUAUUAUAGUAACAUAUUUAGAAUUUAACCCUUUGAUGACAAUUGAUGUAAACAUAAACUUUUCAUAACAAACUUGAAAUAUUUUCUUGAUAAAUCAUUUUCUCACAUCUUUUGACAUACCUAGGCCUUCUGGUCUUGUAUAUCUUUUUAGCUUUCUAACAAGACAAACAUACAAAAUUUUUAUAUCAAAAUUGUAUCUUUUAUUUAUAGCUUUUUAAUAUUUUUUUAUUUCACUAUAGACCUUUUAUCAUAAACUUGUCUUUAGCUGUUAAAAUUUUUAAGUGUCCUUUUCUCUUCUCAGAUUGUUGCACUUUAAAUUUGGUUGGCUGCCAACAGAAGGGUAGUAACCUUGAGUUUUUUUUAUCAACAAAGUACAGAAAAGAGCAAUUUAACUGUAUAAUUACAAAGAAUUUGCAAGGUACAAGAAAUAUUUUAAGCACACCAAUUAAACAUCAACUCAAACUGAAACACAG